UAGAAAACUAAAAACGAUCUGGGGCUCUAUCCAUCCCCACCUAAAAUUCUAGAGUAGGUAAUGGCUGCCUACAACCUGGUCCAACAUAUGCCCCAAAAGUAAAACAAACAAACCCAUUUGCCAUACAAAUUGUUUACGAUUCAUUAAAAAGCAAAAUUGCAUAUCGCGGUGCUGGCAGCUGAGGCCGAGUCUCCACGGGCGGAGAGGGCAUUCAGUGCGUCGCCUUUGUAUGCUGGGACGGCCAAGCCGGAGGUUCCCACUACGCAGACAGCGUCUGUGCAUCCAGAUGACGCAUGAGGUCAUAUCUCUCUUCCUUCAGCUUAUCAUGUGUAGAUAAAAGAAGUCAACUGACACUUGUAUCAUUCUUCCUGGAAGCCUUCUUAGCCAGAUCUACAAGUUUACCAGGAAAAAUGAGACACACCAUCAAGAAGAGUCAAUGAGAUUUUAAGAUCCUCUUUUAUAGUCCAUAUAUGGUGCUUCUCUGUGUGUUGACAUGUAAUAGGCAUUCGACAAACACACAGUGAUUGAUUGACUUCACUCUGCACUAAUGUCAGUGAUUAAUACAGGUUGUUAUGAGACUCAAGCGAUCUAACAGAACUUGAAGGCAUUUUGAAAGUAUAAAGUAUCAGAAAUGUGCAGCACAAUACACAACAAUUUCUUAAUCACGUCAUGCCUGUCCACAGACCCUGCAUAAGAGGUGGAGGAUUUGUUGCCGGCAAGGACAGUGUUAAAUUUACUGAGCAACCCAAGGAGAGACUUGUUUGUCAUAAGGGGAGACCCAGGACUGAUGGUACCUCGACUGGGAAUCCUGGAGGUGAGGAGGGGUGUGUGCUAAGAUUUAAGAAACAGCACCCCACCAUCAAACCACCAAAUGUCAUCAUCUUUGAACUGUUAUGAGAGGCGGAGUGCUACAGAAGUUAAAGACUCAGGUUCUAGAAUAAGAAAGACUUGCAUUCAAUUCUGGCUUAAAUACUCUGUGCUUUGGUAAUGUGCCUUAAUCCUUCUAGCCUGAGUUUCUUCCUUGUAAAAAGGGAAACAUGUUUGUACCUACCACAUAGGGUUACUGUGCAGAUUACGAGUGAUAAAUUAUGCAAAGCACUUACUACAAUAUGUACUGAUGAGAA